rnacentral:rRNA from 1 species
UACGAAGGGGGGCUAGCGUUGUUCGGAAUUACUGGGCGUAAAGCGCACGUAGGCGGACAUUUAAGUCAGGGGUGAAAGCCCGGGGCUCAACUCCGGAAUUGCCUUUAAGACUGCAUCGCUAGAAUUGUGGAGAGGUGAGUGGAAUUCCGAGUGUAGAGGUGAAAUUCGUAGAUAUUCGGAAGAACACCGGUGGCGAAGGCGGCCCGCUGGGCAGGAAGGCUCGCAAGAGCCGGCUGACGCUGAGGCGCGACAGCGUGGGGAGCAAACAGG